GUAUAUGACCAUACUACCCUGAACAUGCCUGAACUGGUCUGAUCUCUGAAGCUAAGCAGGGUCAGGUCUGGUUAGUAGUUGGAUGGGAAAAUGGAUUAAAAAAAAAAAAAAUUAGACCCACCUAUAUU
rnacentral:rRNA from 1 species